rnacentral:rRNA from 1 species
UACGUGGGGUGCAAACGUUGCUCGGAAUUAUUGGGCGUAAAGCGUGCGUAGGCGGUUUGGCAAGUCGGAUGUGAAAUCCCUCGGCUUAACCGAGGAAGUGCAUACGAAACUACCUGGCUUGAGUACCGGAGAGGGUGACGGAAUUCCCGGUGUAGAGGUGAAAUUCGUAGAUAUCGGGAGGAACACCAGUGGCGAAGGCGGUCACCUGGACGGAUACUGACGCUGAGUGCACGAAAGCGUGGGGAGCAAACAGG